rnacentral:rRNA from 1 species
GCAGCAGGCACGCAAAUUACCCACUCCCGGCACGGGGAGGUAGUGACAAAAAAUAACGAUACGGGACUCUAUUGAGGCCCCGUAAUCGGAAUGAGUACACUUUAAAUCCUUUAACAAGGAUCCAUUGGAGGGCAAGUCUGGUGCCAGCAGCCGCGGUAAUUCCAGCUCCAAUAGCGUAUAUUAAAGUUGUUGCGGUUAAAAAGCUCGUAGUUGGUUCUGCGUGCCGCGCUGUCGGUUCGCCGCCUGUCGGUGUAACUGGCAUGUCGCGGCAUGUCCUGUCGGUGGUGAACGGAGUCCACGAUGCUGCAUAGGCUUCCUUUAGCCGAUGUUAGGGUCGUGUGUAUUUCCGUUUGCCGAUCUCCUACUCCGGUGCUCUUAAACGAGUGUCGAGGUAGGCCGACACGUUCACUUUGAACAAAUUAGAGUGCUUAAAGCAGGCUGAAAUAUCUGCCUGAAUAGUGGUGCAUGGAAUGAUAAAACAGGACCUCAGUUCUAUUUUGUUGGUUUUAGAAAUAUGAGGUAAUGAUCAAUAAGGACUGGCGGGGGCAUUCGUAUUGCGACGUAGAGGUGAAAUUCUUGGAUCGUCGCAAGACGCACUAGAGCGAAAGCAUUUGCCAAGUAUGUCUUAAUUGAUCAAGAACGAAAGUUAGAGGUUCGAAGGCGAUCAGAUACCGCCCUAGUUCUAACCAUAAACGAUGUCAGCCAGCGAUCCGCCGAUGUUCAUUUAAUGACUCGGCGGGGAGCUUCUACCCGGGAAACCAAAGCUUUUGGGUUCCGGGGGAAGUAUGGUUGCAAAGCUGAAACUUAAAGGAAUUGACGGAAGGGCACCACCAGGAGUGGAGCCUGCGGCUUAAUUUGACUCAACACGGGAAACCUCACCAGGCCAGGACAUUGGAAGGAUUGACAGAUUGAUAGCUCUUUCUUGAUUCAGUGGGUAGUGGUGCAUGGCCGUUC